rnacentral:RNase_P_RNA from 1 species
CGAGCAGGUUGCUUUAUCGCUCUUCAUAAAAUGGGAGAGAGGAAAGUCCGGACAACACAGGGCACUGCACUCUCGAAAUGAGAGAUGUUCGUGAGGGCAUGCACGCAGAGAAGAAAAUAACCACCUCGAUUUAUCGUGGAUUUAUUGGGGAAAGGGUGAGAAGGUGGGGUAAGAGCCCACUGGUAUUUGUGGCGACACAAAUAGCCGUCUGCACUGUAGGUUGCAAGACCAUGUAAACCAACGCUUGAGGGUUGCCCGCCCGAGUUGGAGGGUAGGUCGCAUAGAUAAAUGAUAAAGACCCCGAUUUUAUUGGGAACAGAAUCCGGCUUAUAAACCUGCUCUUUUU